CUUGGUCAUUUAGAGGAGUAAAAGUCGUAACAAGGUUUCCGUAGGUGAACCUUGCGGAAGGAUCAUUAUCGAAAUUAUUGGUGAGGGUUGUAGCUGGCCUUUCGAGGCAUGUGCACGCUCGAGCCCUUAAUCCACUUUACACCUGUGCACUUAAUGUAGGUCGCCCUUAAAAAAGGUGACCUAUGUCUUAUCAUCAACCCAUCGUAUGUCUCAUAGAAUGUAAUCGAUAUCCUCGCCCUAAAAAAGCGUUGAUAAACUUAUACAACUUUCAACAACGGAUCUCUUGGCUCUCGCAUCGAUGAGGAACGCAGCGAAAUGCGAUAAGUAAUGUGAAUUGCAGAUUUUCAGUGAAUCAUCGAAUCUUUGAACGCACCUUGCGCUCCUUGGUAUUCCGAGGAGCAUGCCUGUUUGAGUGUCAUUAAAUUCUCAACUCCAAGGGUUUCACGACCUUUCGGAGAUUGGACUUGGAGGUGCUGGCCGCAUAUUGGUCGGCUCCUCUCAAAUGCAUCAACGGAAUUCAACCUUUGGCUUCCGGAUGUCAGUGUGAUAAUCAUGUUGCGCUGUCGUUUGAUCCCUCAGAGUCCGCUUAUAAUGGUCUUCGGACAAAAUCAUCAUCAAAUUUGACCUCAAAUCAGGUAGGACUACCCGCUGAACUUAAGCAUAUCAAUAAGCGGGAGGA
rnacentral:rRNA from 1 species